AACGGCGAGUGAAGCGGCAAGAGCUCAAAUUUGAAAUCUGGUCCUUUCAGGGCCCGAGUUGUAAUUUGUAGAGGAUGCUUCGGGUGCGGCCGCGGUCUAAGUCCCCUGGAACGGGGCGUCAUAGAGGGUGAGAAUCCCGUCUUUGACCGGCCGGCCACGCCCGUGUGAAGCUCCUUCGACGAGUCGAGUUGUUUGGGAAUGCAGCUCUAAAUGGGUGGUAAAUUUCAUCUAAAGCUAAAUACUGGUCGGAGACCGAUAGCGCACAAGUAGAGUGAUCGAAAGAUGAAAAGCACUUUGAAAAGAGAGUUAAACAGCAUGUGAAAUUGUUGAAAGGGAAGCGCUUGCGAUCAGAGUCGGCCGCGGGGGCUCAGCGGGCAUUCUUUGCCCGUGCACUCCCUCGUGGCCGGGCCAGCGUCGAUUUUGACGGCCGGUCAAAGGCCCCCGGAAUGUGUCGCCUCUCGGGGCGUCUUAUAGCCGGGGGUGCAAUGCGGCCUGUCGGGAUCGAGGAACGCGCUUCGGCACGGACGCUGGCUUAAUGGUCGUAAGCGACCCGUCUUGAAACACGGACCAA
rnacentral:rRNA from 1 species